rnacentral:rRNA from 1 species
UACGAAGGGGGCUAGCGUUGCUCGGAAUCACUGGGCGUAAAGGGCGCGUAGGCGGUUCUUUAAGUCGGGGGUGAAAGCCCAGGGCUCAACCCUGGAAUUGCCUUCGAUACUGAAGAUCUCGAGACCGGAAGAGGUAAGUGGAACUGCGAGUGUAGAGGUGAAAUUCGUAGAUAUUCGCAAGAACACCAGUGGCGAAGGCGGCUUACUGGUCCGGUUCUGACGCUGAGGCGCGAAAGCGUGGGGAGCGAACAGG